CAGAAACUAAGUGAACAAACGAAUAUCUUCAAAAUAAGUUAUUAUAUCAUUUCAGAGGUUCUUAAGAAUGAAAUGAUAAAAAUAAUUGAGGUUAGGGGCACUUUAGAGAAGUAAGCCACUUCAGAGCCUCGACUGCGCAUCCAAAUGACAGGUUCUGUAUCGGGACAUAUUCUGUAAGAUAUCAUGGUCUGGAAACCCGAAAAACUUCAAAACCACAAAAUAGAAGGCCUUAAUUUGUUUGAUGUUGAACUGUACCUCAGGCAGCACAAAUCCUUUGUCUCAACUUCAUUAAAUAUUAAUCAUCGUGGUAGCACGUUUCAUCUGAGCUAUCUUUACAGGAGGAUUACGUCAUUAUACGAAAAUACAAUGAGCUUAACACCGUGACCGUGCACAAAUUAACAAAAUACAAUGUUAUAGUGUCCAGACCAUCAUAUCUUGAUAGACUAUGAUCGGAAUAAAGUGCAGUUGAAGCAAUGAAUAUAUGCAGGUCAGAGUAUAUUGACCUGUUCAAUCAUUAUUUGUGCCAGUUAGAUCCACAACAGAACUUCUUUUUUUUAGUAGCAUAUUUUGUCUCCUUUGUAAAGCAAAACAAAGAGUACACUUUUGGAUCACUUAGAUAUAAUAGAAAUAGAAAGUACACUUUUGGGUCAUUUCGAAAUAAAGCUACACUUUCCGGUCAUUUCGAUGUGCAGUCGAGACUCUAAUUGGCUUUUUCAUGUUCUUUUUGUAACAUUGUUUGAUAUGGGAGGUGACUAACCUCCCAAACCCCUAUACUAAUCCCGGGCACCUCUUUCAAGAGAACAGAAACCUCGGGUCCCAAUUGUUACUAUAACCCUUUUAAGCAGAGCUAGAAAAAGUGUUUAAUGCUCCUCUCGUCCUCAAUUUGCCCUCAUCAAUGUUCCUCAGAAGUGAGUAAAAACAAUGGAGUAUUUAACCGCACAUUGCGCCUUGGCCGUAAUUAUGUUUCAAAUAUACGAUUCUCCCAUAACGUAUGUGUGAAAAUUGAAAGUGUUUCUCAUAACAUUACAAUUACAAAUUACAAUUACAACUAUAAGAAUCACAAUACUAAAGAAAAGUAGAAGAAAAUUAGGAUUGUUUAGUAAUAUUUUUGAAAUUAACUACAGAUGUAGCAUUUACAGCUUCGAUAGGUAGGCUAUUCCACAGGACUGUUCCUCUAAGCUAUAAGUAAAACUUUUCUUAAGAAACUCUGUCAAAGGUCUUGGGACAAAAACCUUAGAAUCAGAGUGACGUAGAUUGUUGCUGUG